UUGCUCAGGCAGCACAUUUGAUAAUACUGGACCAAUACAGGGAGACUAGCAUGGUCCCUACACAAAAAUCACAUCCAAGUUCUGAAGUGGUCCAUACAUUA
rnacentral:snRNA from 1 species